GAUGAACGCUGGCUGCGUGCCUAAUACAUGCAAGUCGAGCGAACAGACGAGGAUCUUUCUCAUCUGACGUUAGCGGCGGACGGGUGAGUAACACGUGGAUAACCUACCUAUAAGACUGGGAUAACUUCGGGAAACCGGAGCUAAUACCGGAUAAUAUAUUGCACCGCAUGGUUCACUAGUGAAAGACGGUUUUGCUGUCACUUAUAGAUGGAUCCGCGCCGCAUUAGAUAGUUGGUAAGGUAACGGCUUACCAAGGCAACGAUGCGUAGCCGACCUGAGAGGAGGAUAAGCCACACUGGACCUGAGCCGCGGUCCAGACUCCUACGGGAGGCAACGGUGGGGAAUCUUCCGCAAUGGGCGAAGGCCUGACGGAGCAACGCCGCGUGGGUGAUGAAGGCCUUCGGAUAGGAAAACUCUGUUAUUAGGGAAGAACAAAUGUGUAAGUAACGAGGCACUUCUUGACGGUACCUAAUCAGAAAGCCACGGCUAACUACGUG
rnacentral:rRNA from 1 species